ACAGCAGUAGCCGCGGUAAAACGAAGGGUGCAAGCGUUAAUCGGAAUUACUGGGCGUAAAGCGUGCGUAGGCGGUGAGUUAAGUCUGCUGUGAAAUCCCCGGGCUCAACCUGGGAAUGGCAGUGGAUACUGGCUCGCUAGAGUGUGUCAGAGGAUGGUGGAAUUCCCGGUGUAGCGGUGAAAUGCGUAGAGAUCUGGAGGAACAUCAGUGGCGAAGGCGGCCAUCUGGGACAACACUGACGCUGAGGCACGAAAGCGUGGGGAGCAAACAGGAUUAGAUACCCCGGUAGUCCCUGUCUCUUAUAC
rnacentral:rRNA from 1 species